rnacentral:lncRNA from 1 species
UUGACUGCUACAAGAUAGUAUCAAUGUCCUGUUGACCUUUGAAGAAUUUGCUGCAAACUUAUGUCAAAGAUUUCAUCCAUGAUGACUGAACCACAAUAUUCUAACUAAGCUUCUUUGGAUGACAUCAUAUAUGUACCAAACCACCCUAGUUGCAUCUCGCACAAGCUUACAAGCACCAUCCAAAAGAAAAGCUGGUUAUGAAAGCUAUUAUAUAAAUAAGUUGCCUUCAAGCCUUGGAUGCAACGGGAUAAUCACAUUAUCAUUAUGAGCGUGAGACUUCGAAGGACAAUUGUGUGAUCGCAAAGUUGUUAUGUUGUUAACAACAAUCAUUCUGCAUGCAGGGAAGCACUCAUCUAUAUUAACUACGCCGCUAUGCAUGCAAGAUCUUAAGCUAUAUGAGUAUAAGGUGAGAAUCAAUUUAUAUAUUGUUCACAAUUAAAUUAAAAAAAUGUUUGAGGCAUUGAGAGGAGGCAAACAUCAAAAAAUAGUCUAAAUAAACUCUAAUUGCAUUUAUUGAGGAAAGUGAAUAACUACAAACUAAUUAAUGGAAAGGGGGCGAAUGAAUGGCACCUGCUGGACGAGGCUGUGG